rnacentral:rRNA from 1 species
CCGCUGCCGGCGACGUUGCGAGAAGUCCACUGAACCUUAUCAUUUAGAGGUGGAAGAAGUCGUAACAAGGUUUCCGUAGGUGAACCUGCGGAAGGAUCAUUGUCGAUGCCCCACGAAAAGAACGACCCGUGAAUCGGUUGAUCGGAAUCUCGAGGGGGGGCGGAAGGGCGCCUGAAGCCUCCCCCCGAUCGUCGGGGGCGCGGUCCGCGCGGCGCGGGCCUAGCCCCCGACUUAAGAACCAACCCCGGCGCCUCAGGCGCCAAGGAAACGCGAUAUUGCGAGCGCGCUCCUCUGGCGGCACGGAAGACGUGCCGGUGUGCCAGGGUUGCGCCAUUGGUCAUUGUGCAUCCGAAACGACUCUCGGCAACGGAUAUCUCGGUUCUCGCAUCGAUGAAGAACGCAGCGAAAUGCGAUACUUGGUGUGAAUUGCAGAAUCCCGUGAACCAUCGAGUCUUUGAACGCAAGUUGCGCCCGAGGCCGCUCGGCCGAGGGCACGUCUGCCUGGGUGUCACGCAACGUCGCCGAUGCCGGGUGCUCCGGCAUGGCGGAUGAUGGCUUCCCGGGAGCCCGGUCUCCCGGCCGGCCGGAAAGAAGGCCCCGAUGGGAUGGCCGCCACGAUCGACGGUGGAUGAGUGAAGGAGAUGCGCUCGAUACCAUCCGUGCGUGAGCCGUCCCACGAGUCGGGCCCCUUGGAUUAGGGCUGCGGAAGCAGAGCCCUCGUCACGAACGCGACCCCAGGUCAGGCGGGGCCACCCGCUGAGUUUAAGCAUAUCAAUAAGCGGAGGAA